CAGGGAGACAACAAAAUGUUUAAUAUUAUUAUUUUGUCACCUUAGGUCGAUCGGUAUCUCACGUUUUUAAUUUAUUAAGAAUUUCAUUUCCUAAGUUUUUCUAGGUCACACCCAUUAUUUUUCCUGGGCCAUUAGCUCAGGUGGUUAGAGCGCACCCCUGAUAAGGGUGAGGUCCCUGGUUCAAGUCCAGGAUGGCCCAUAUCUCUAUGUUGGGGGUAUAGCUCAGUUGGUAGAGCGCCUGCUUUGCAAGCAGGAUGUCAGCGGUUCGAGUCCGCUUACCUCCACUGAUUACCACCUCUUUCAUAACCGGUAAAAAGGAAAUGUUUUGAGUUGUGAUCAAAUUCUGAAAGAAUCUAGCUUCCUAAUGAAACCAUUAAGAUGCUGGACUCAUUGAAUUAAUUUCAUUGUUUUCAGAGAACCUUGACAACUGCAUAGAUUAUUUUUAAAGACAAUAAGCAUCUUUAAUGAUGCAGAUUUAUUAUUUGUGCGAAUGCAUUAAUAACAAUUCUAUUAAGCUGAUGCUUCAAUUUUUGAAGUUAUU
rnacentral:tRNA from 1 species